rnacentral:rRNA from 1 species
AACGAACGCUGGCGGCGUGUUUAAGACAUGCAAGUCGCACGGGAUAAGACAUGUAGUAAUACUUGUUUUAUUUAGUGGCGCACGGGUGAGUAACACGUGAAUUACAUGCCCUAUAGUGGGGAAUAGCCCAGGGGAACCUGGAUUAAUACCCCAUGGUAUCGAAAGAUUAAAGGUGGACGCAAGGCUGUCGCUAUAGGAUUGGUUCGCGCCCUAUCAGCUUGUUGGUGAGGUAACGGCUCACUAAGGCAAUGACGGGUACCUGGUCUGAGAGGACGAUCAGGCACACUGGAACUGAGACACGGUCCAGACACCUACGGGUGGCAGCAGUCGAGAAUAAUUCACAAUGGGGGCAACCCUGAUGGUGCAACGCCGCGUGGAGGAUGACGGUCUUCGGAUUGUAAACUCCUGUCAUCUGGGAGAAAGACCUGACGGUAAAUAGCCGGCAGGGUUGAUAGUACCAGAAGAGGAAGGGACGGCUAACUUCGUGCCAGCAGCCGCAGUAA